rnacentral:rRNA from 1 species
UACGGAGGGUGCAAGCGUUAUCCGGAUUCACUGGGUUUAAAGGGUGCGUAGGAGGGCAGGUAAGUCAGUGGUGAAAUCUUCGAGCUUAACUCGGAAACUGCCGUUGAUACUAUCUGUCUUGAAUACCGUGGAGAUGAGCGGAAUAUGUCAUGUAGCGGUGAAAUGCUUAGAUAUGACAUAGAACACCAAUUGCGAAGGCAGCUCGUUACACGCAUAUUGACUCUGAGGCACUAAAGCGUGGGGAUCAAACAGG